rnacentral:rRNA from 1 species
AGCGGUAAGGCCCUUCGGGGUACACGAGCGGCGAACGGGUGAGUAACACGUGGGUGAUCUGCCCUGUACUUCGGGAUAAGCCUGGGAAACUGGGUCUAAUACCGGAUAUGACCUUACAUCGCAUGGUGUUUGGUGGAAAGAUUUAUCGGUACAGGAUGGGCCCGCGGCCUAUCAGCUUGUUGGUGGGGUAAUGGCCUACCAAGGCGACGACGGGUAGCCGGCCUGAGAGGGCGACCGGCCACACUGGGACUGAGACACGGCCCAGACUCCUACGGGAGGCAGCAGUGGGGAAUAUUGCACAAUGGGCGAAAGCCUGAUGCAGCGACGCCGCGUGAGGGAUGACGGCCUUCGGGUUGUAAACCUCUUUCGACAGGGACGAAGCGCAAGUGACGGUACCUGUAGAAGAAGCACCGGCCAACUACGUGCCAGCAGCCGCGGUAAUACGUAGGGUGCGAGCGUUGUCCGGAAUUACUGGGCGUAAAGAGCUUGUAGGCGGUUUGUCGCGUCGUCCGUGAAAACUUGGGGCUCAACCCCAAGCUUUGCGGGCGAUACGGGCAGACUUGAGUACUGCAAGG